GACGAACGCUGGCGGCGUGCUUAACACAUGCAAGUCGAACGGAAAGGCCCUGCUUUUGUGGGGUGCUCGAGUGGCGAACGGGUGAGUAACACGUGAGUAACCUGCCCUUGACUUUGGGAUAACUUCAGGAAACUGGGGCUAAUACCGGAUAGGAGCUCCUGCUGCAUGGUGGGGGUUGGAAAGUUUCGGCGGUUGGGGAUGGACUCGCGGCUUAUCAGCUUGUUGGUGGGGUUGUGGCUUACCAAGGCUUUGACGGGUGGCCGGCCUGAGAGGGUGACCGGCCACAUUGGGACUGAGAUACGGCCCAGACUCCUACGGGAGGCAGCAGUGGGAAAUUUAGCACAAUGGGCGGAAGCCGUAUGCAGCAACUCCGCGUGCGGGAUGACGGCCUUCGGGUUAGAAACCGCUUUCGCCUGUGACGAAGCGUGAGUGACGGUAAUGGAUAAAGAAGCAACGGCUAACUACGUG
rnacentral:rRNA from 1 species